rnacentral:misc_RNA from 1 species
UGGGCGAGGGUCAAUAUAUUUAGCUUGGUUUGAUGCGAAUAUUUAGAGGCAUGGGAGUUGAGUGUUAUUAGCUUGUUUUGUCUAAUAAGAUGUAAUGAACUUAAUUUAUAGGUUGAGUUAAAUGUGGAAUAUACCGCAAAUCAAAUUAUAUAUAUUCGUGUGUAUGUUUAGGGGAUAUGCAAUCAAAUCAAGUUAUAUAUUUGUGUGUAUGUUGAGG